GCCUCAGGACCCACCUGAGGAUGCCCCCUCCCUCCUGGCAUUGCAGAGUGAGGGCAUCGCCUCCACAGUGACCAGCCAGAUGAACUCCGUGCAGCUGGACGGGCUUCGGCCCGACGCCCGCUAUGUGGUCCAGGUCCGUGCCCGCACAGUAGCCGGCUAUGGGCAGUACAGCCGCCCUGCCGAGUUUGAGACCACAAGUGAGAGAGGUUAGUAGCCCCCUGCGCCUGUCCCCAUCGCGGCCCUCACUCUGUGUCCCUCCACUCAGCAGCCCCUUCUCUAUCUCCAGGCUCCGGGGCCCAGCAGCUCCAGGAGCAGCUUCCCCUCAUCGUGGGCUCCGCUACAGCUGGGCUUGUCGUCGUGGUGGCUGUCGUGGUCAUCGCUAUCGUCUGCCUCAGGUACUCCCAGGCCCACUGUUGCUCCAUGGGCCGACUCGAACUGCCUUUAGCAUCCUAGAGGCCUCAUGUCACAGAGAUGAGCCGCCACCACCUCCCUCAGACCCAGGGCCUUAGCCCUCCGGGGGCCAGCCGUUGCUGGAGAAGCCCUCUCCCGUCCCUGCCUGUG
rnacentral:sRNA from 1 species